rnacentral:rRNA from 1 species
GACGAACGCUGGCGGCGUGCCUAAUACAUGCAAGUAGAACGCUGAAGAGAGGAGCUUGCUCUUCUUGGAUGAGUUGCGAACGGGUGAGUAACGCGUAGGUAACCUGCCUUGUAGCGGGGGAUAACUAUUGGAAACGAUAGCUAAUACCGCAUAACAAUGGAUGACACAUGUCAUUUAUUUGAAAGGGGCAAUUGCUCCACUACAAGAUGGACCUGCGUUGUAUUAGCUAGUAGGUGAGGUAAUGGCUCACCUAGGCGACGAUACAUAGCCGACCUGAGAGGGUGAUCGGCCACACUGGGACUGAGACACGGCCCAGACUCCUACGGGAGGCAGCAGUAGGGAAUCUUCGGCAAUGGGGGCAACCCUGACCGAGCAACGCCGCGUGAGUGAAGAAGGUCUUCGGAUCGUAAAGCUCUGUUGUAAGUCAAGAACGGGUGUGAGAGUGGAAAGUUCACACUGUGACGGUAGCUUACCAGAAAGGGACGGCUAACUACGUG